rnacentral:rRNA from 1 species
GUCUAUGGCCAUACCAUCCUGAAUAAGCUCGAUCCCAUCUGAUCUCGGAAGCUAAGCAGCUUUGGGCCUGGUUUGUGCUUGCAUGGGAGACCACCUAGGAAGAUCAGGUGCUGUACAUG